rnacentral:rRNA from 1 species
CGAGUAGGCGGCCUUCUAAGUCAGACGUGAAAUCCCCCGGCUUAACCUGGGAACUGCGUCUGAUACUGGGAGGCUUGAGUAUGGGAGAGGGAGGUAGAAUUCCAGGUGUAGCGGUGAAAUGCGUAGAUAUCUGGAGGAAUACCGGUGGCGAAGGCGGCCUCCUGGACCAUAACUGACGCUGAUCCGCGAAAGCUAGGGGAGCAAACG